rnacentral:rRNA from 1 species
UAGUGGCGCACGGGUGAGUAACACGUGGGUGACCUGCCCUUGAGUUCGGGAUACCCCCUCGAAAGGGGGGCUAAUACCGGAUACGUUCCUUGGGUCGAAAGACUCGGGGAGGAAAGGUGGCGGAAGCUGCCGCUCUUGGAGGGGCUCGCGGCCUAUCAGCUAGUUGGCGGGGUAACGGCCCACCAAGGCUAUGACGGGUAGCUGGUCUGAGAGGACGACCAGCCACACGGGGACUGAGACACGGCUCCGACUCCUACGGGAGGCAGCAGUGGGGAAUUUUCCGCAAUGGGCGAAAGCCUGACGGAGUGACGCCGCGUGUGGGACGAAGGCCUUCGGGUCGUAAACCACUGUCAGUGGGAAAGAUGGGUGUCGGCGCUAAUACCGCUGGCAUCUGACGGUACCUGCAGAGGAAGCCCCGGCCAACUCUGUGCCAGCAGCCGCGGUAAGACAGAGGGGGCAAGCGUUGCUCGGAAUUACUGGGCGUAAAGGGCGCGUAGGCGGGAUGGCAAGUCGGUCGUGAAAUCCCUCGGCUCAACCGAGGAACGUCGAUCGAUACUGCUGUUCUUGAGGAUUGCAGAGGAGACUGGAAUUCCCGGUGUAGCGGUGAAAUGUGUAGAGAUCGGGAGGAACACCGGUGGCGAAGGCGGGUCUCUGGGCAAUUCC